AUUCAGUUUGCCAGGAAGGUGUGUGUGUGCGCGCGCGUGUGUGUGACAGAGAAAAGGUGAUCGAGACGCAGCCAUGGGGCGGCUGAGAUCUACCGCCCUUCCUGGCACUCUGGAAAAGGUGAAGUCACCUUCGGAGAAUCCCAAACACUGAUGAGGUUCUUCCCACGUGGGAAGGAAACUGCCCUGGUUCUCAGAGCAGAUGCCACCCCGGAGCUGAAACCGAGUGGCUUCCAGUUGCAUUUGGUUGCUGUCUUCAGCUGUACGAAGCAGAUAAAUGCGAUCACGGGCUCUCAGCUCCACCCAAGUCUGACAUUUCCCCUAAACCCUCCACCCCCGACUCCUACACCCUCUGUGAUGCAACACAGUUCAUUCACUAUAAUUUGAAGGUUACAGUCAAUUGUCGCAAGACAAGAACUCAGACUGGAUCGGGUCAGACUUCCUGUGUUAGGAGGGUUCAUCUUCGGAAGCAUCUUCCAGAAGCUCUAUUGCAGUGUAUUGCCUAAGGACUUCCCUCUUCCAUUCUGCUUUCAGUGGGCCUUCUAAUUUCCCCUUUCAUUUAAAGAUGAGCGUUACUGUCACUUUGCAAAUUACAGACUUUAAUAUCGCUCCUACUUUCACUUCCCACUGAAAUCUGACGGUUGUCUUUAUGAAUUUCUUCUAACUGAAAAAAGUUAAAAUGAAAUGUCUUCUGAGCCCAGGGAAGGAGAAAGAAGUAUAUUGAAAGAUACAUAAGCUGGUCUGGGUGUGGAAAGUAAACACUGAGCUAUUCACAUGGGAAUACGAGAAAUAGAUUUCUUUAUACUUAUUCCAAUUUAUAGAAAUAUACGGAAAUUCUAUUAUAAAAUGUAGAGUUGAAACAAAUUACCAUAACGAAGAAACAAACAGGGGUGUAGUUUUUAAAAAUAUAAAUACACUUAAAUAGGAAACUCUUUUUUUUUUUUAAGUUUAUUUUUGAGAGAGAGAGAGAGAGUGAAUGUGUGGGAGCAAGUGGGGGAGGGUAAAGGGGACAGAGAGAGAGAGAGAGAGAGAGAGAGAAUCCCAUCGCGGGGCUCGAGCUCAUUAACUAUGAGAUCAUGACCUGAGCCAAAAUCAAGAGUCAGACACUUCACCCAGAAUCACCCAGGCGCCCCAGAUAAUAAACUCUCAGAUGCAUUUAGCA
rnacentral:lncRNA from 1 species